UUUAUAAUUGACAAUUCUGUAAGAAAAAUGGAAGCAAUUAGAGUUGGUGUUUACAACUUUCAUCCCUUUUUGUAUGUAGAUGAAUCAAAUAAUGUAGCGGGCAUUUUAGCGCCUCUCAUUUACAAUCUCUACUACUUCAUCAUUAAUAAAGUGAAUACAACUUUUGUGCUAAGUCCGAUAAACUCAGUUGAUUUCUGUGCAGAUAAUGGAGUUUGCACGGGCUCAUUGAUUUUGAUGCAGAAAAAUGAAGUAGACUUUAGCCAUAAAGUUGGUCUCAGUGGUUUAAAUCAUGUCGGAAUCAAUUUGACUUUAACACCAAUAAUUAUGGAAGAAAACUGUUACCUUUCUUAUAACAGCAAAUUACAAGUGAGUUUGACGAGUUCAUCAUUUUUCGACUUUUUCUCAUCAUUUCAGUGGACAUUUUGGAUUCUCACAGUUUGCUCAUUUUUCGUCUUCAUCAUGGUAAACAAUGUUUCCCUCAAAUUUAAACGCUCCGUCUCUUUGGUCCAAAUCUUUUGGUCACAUUUUGAUUACGUUUUGGGCCAAAAUUACAUUACAAAUUGUGCUAUCCAAAAAGAAUCUUUUUUCAUGGUAUUCAUUAUUUUCCAAUUGCUUGUGAAUAAAUUAUUAAUGGCUUCCCUACGAACUGGUUUGGUGCAGCAUUCGGAAUAUCUUAAAUUGGAAUCAUUCCAUGAUAUUUUAAAGUACAACUUCACAGUGAGAAUCGCCUAUCCAACAGUAUGCAACCGUGAAUUCCAGAAAUCACUCGAUCCUGUUGUUCGCAAAGUUAGAAUAGAGCACAACGUCUAUCAAGGAAUACCAACACAUGAGCAAAUAUACCAGGCAUUGAGAAAAGAUGGAACCGUUACUUGCAUCAAUGAUGUCAAUUUUCACGCGGCCAAAAAUUUUGCCUGUUUUCUUUAUCAAGCAGCAGAAGAGCGUGAACCAUUGCGAAAAUCAGAGCGAACAGUGUUUAGAUGUAGCUUUGGAUUCAACUUGAAUAAACUGGCUUCAGCGAAAAAGCUAAAAAUCAUAAAGACUGGUCUUUAUUCCGCUUUUGAAACUGGAUGCAUCUCAUCUAGAAUUAUAAACAAAAUAACCAAAAGAUGUUUCCUUAAAUCUGAUGCAGCUCCGUCUUGUAUCAAUCAUAAAUAUGAUUCCACCGAGAUCAAAUUUAUACCCAUAUCGAUGGCUUACCUGAAAAUUCCGUUUGUUAUUUUCUUCUUCGGGCUGAUCAUAAGUGUUUCAACGUUCAUUAUAUUACAAUGUAAAUUUUACAUUCACCAGUUUCUUUAUCGCAGAUCUCUUUCAACUUGCAUCGCAACGACUUUCAAUAUUAACUUUGCUGAAGAGUUGUUUUAACUAAAGAAAUUUUGUUUUCGAUACGCUUUAAUCGUUGUCACACUAAUUAAAUUAGUCUAUUUUAAUUGUACAAUUAUUGUAAUGGGAUAAUCACUAAAACAAGAAAAACAUGUCAAUUAAUGCUUUUACUGCUAUCUAUUGUUUUAUAAAUUCACUAUAUUUCAAUUCAUAGAUUUUAAUUUGUGUAGGUGGCGCAAUUUUGUAGAGGAAUAGCUUUGGUUUACGGUUUUCUCUUUCAUUCUAUUCAAAAGUUGUAAAAGUGACUCAAAGCUACUAUUCGAAGUGCAAUCAUGGAUGAUGAUGAAGAUUGUUCCAGACCGUCGGAUGAAGUGUACAAACUUUUAUACGACGAGGAAGAUUCAGACAUUGAUGAUGGUAAUUUCAAAAGAACGAGACACACUUCAUCUAAUGAUGGUGAUCGUGAUGCCCCGAAUGAACGACUCAAAGUUAAUGUGACUGCUGCUGGUAAAAGUGAUUUAUCAAUCACUAGAACCAUAAGAUUUGAUGACGCAUUGUUGAAAAGAACCAUUACUAAGCCAGUUAAGGCUGUCAACUCUUCUGGUUCUCCUGGUUUUACUUCUCCAGUUAAACCAGCAACAUCUUCGACUGAUUCUGAAAGCGUCUUUCAGCGACUUUCUUUUCCUGAAAAAAAUGCAAUACCUCAGCAAACAGUUUCAUUGUCAACAAAUAUUCAACGUCCAACCAUUCCAAAAUCAUCAUCUACUAUUUCUCUGAGUGAAAAGACCUCUUCACCUUCAGUUAAGCGAAUACUUGAUGUUCAACGACCAUCUAACAGUAUUAAAUUGCGGCCCAGUUCUGAUGCAAUCAAUGCACCCAUUUCACGAUCCAAUCUAGAUCUUCAACUACCUCAAGUAAUUGUACCGCCUAAAUCGAAGCCAAUUUUUUCCGAAAAAAAUGUCGACUUGGACACCUUUCUCAGGCAAUUGAAAUCAGAGCUAAUAGCUCAUCGCUCCUUGGACCGUCUUUACAACCGCUCUUUAUUUGAGUUGAGUGCAAUGAAGAAAAAUCCUGAUUUUCAACAAAUUCUCAAAUCUGUGGUCGAAGGAGUACUGUUUGAUCCUGAAUGUCAACCAAAUUCUGAUUCAGUGCAUAAGAUCCUAAAACUUUUACAAAAUUUUGAUCUGGAUAAUACAAAUACAUGGACAUUUCUAAUAGACCGCUCUUAUACGCUCAUCACUGAAAAUACAGACGCUCAUUACAAAAGACUCUCAUGUUUCAUUGAAAUGACUUUCAACCACCUUUUUCUGACAAAACUUAAACUAUUGCCCUGCACUGCUUUGAAUUUGUUCAAAAUGGCCCAAGUUUCUCCAUUUAAUCCAGCCGUCAAGCCACGUCCAAGAGCCCCUGUAUCCAAUCUAAAGAGUAAUCUUGUUAGUGCUCUACAAGAAAACCAAUAAGUUGGCCAUCAUAAGUUUUAUUUUCCAACCACUUAAUCAAAUGUUAAAUAUUUAUAUUUGAUAAAAAUGUGCAAGCACUUUUAAAUAUCAAAUUGACGCGAUACUCAGCUUUAUCAACAUUGUUGCUAAAAUUCAUUGUAACCGACAUCAAAGGUUAAGUAUGUAGCUAUUAAUAACUUACAUGUUAACCUUUGCAAAAAAAAUGUUUAUUAAAAUUUAGUUUGUUUCUCGA